UGGGGAAUUUUGGACAAUGGGGGAAACCCUGAUCCAGCCAUCCCGCGUGUGCGAUGAAGGCCUUCGGGUUGUAAAGCACUUUUGGCAGGAAAGAAACGUCAUGGGUUAAUACCCCGUGAAACUGACGGUACCUGCAGAAUAAGCACCGGCUAACUACGUGCCAGCAGCCGCGGUAAUACGUAGGGUGCAAGCGUUAAUCGGAAUUACUGGGCGUAAAGCGUGCGCAGGCGGUUCGGAAAGAAAGAUGUGAAAUCCCAGAGCUCAACUUUGGAACUACAUUUUUAACUACCGGGCUAGAGUGUGUCAGAGGGAGGUGGAAUUCCGCGUGUAGCAGUGAAAUGCGUAGAUAUGCGGAGGAACACCGAUGGCGAAGGCAGCCUCCUGGGAUAACACUGACGCUCAUGCACGAAAGCGUGGGGAGCAAACAGG
rnacentral:rRNA from 1 species